GACGAACGCUGGCGGCGUGCUUAACACAUGCAAGUCGAACGAAGAGCGAUGGAAGCUUGCUUCUAUCAAUCUUAGUGGCGAACGGGUGAGUAACGCGUAAUCAACCUGCCCUUCAGAGGGGGACAACAGUUGGAAACGACUGCUAAUACCGCAUACGAUCUAAUCUCGGCAUCGAGGAAAGAUGAAAGGUGGCCUCUAUUUAUAAGCUAUCACUGAAGGAGGGGAUUGCGUCUGAUUAGCUAGUUGGAGGGGUAACGGCCCACCAAGGCGAUGAUCAGUAGCCGGUCUGAGAGGAUGAACGGCCACAUUGGGACUGAGACACGGCCCAGACUCCUACGGGAGGCAGCAGUGGGGACUCUUCCGCAAUGGACGAAAGUCUGACGGAGCAACGCCGCGUGAGUGAUGACGGCCUUCGGGUUGUAAAGCUCUGUUAAUCGGGACGAAAGGCCUUCUUGCGAACAGUUAGAAGGAUUGACGGUACCGGAAUAGAAAGCCACGGCUAACUACGUG
rnacentral:rRNA from 1 species